AUUGAACGCUGGCGGCAUGCUUUACACAUGCAAGUCGAACGGUAACAGGUUAAGCUGACGAGUGGCGGACGGGUGAGUAAUGCAUCGGAACGUGCCCGAUCGUGGGGGAUAACGCAGCGAAAGCUGCGCUAAUACCGCAUACGAUCUGAGGAUGAAAGCGGGGGACCGUAAGGCCUCGCGCGAUUGGAGCGGCCGAUGUCAGAUUAGGUAGUUGGUGGGGUAAAGGCCCACCAAGCCGACGAUCUGUAGCUGGUCUGAGAGGACGACCAGCCACACUGGGACUGAGACACGGCCCAGACUCCUACGGGAGGCAGCAGUGGGGAAUUUUGGACAAUGGGCGAAAGCCUGAUCCAGCAAUGCCGCGUGCAGGAAGAAGGCCUUCGGGUUGUAAACUGCUUUUGUACGGAGCGAAAAGGUCCUUUCUAAUACAAGGGGCUCAUGACGGUACCGUAAGAAUAAGCACCGGCUAACUACGUGCCAGCCGCCGCCGUAACAC
rnacentral:rRNA from 1 species